rnacentral:rRNA from 1 species
GACGUAGGGCGCGAGCGUUGUCCGGAUUUAUUGGGCGUAAAGAGCUCGUAGGCGGCUUGUCGCGUCGAAUGUGAAAUCCCGAGGCUCAACUUCGGGCUUGCAUUCGAUACGGGCAGGCUAGAGUUCGGUAGGGGAGACUGGAAUUCCUGGUGUAGCGGUGAAAUGCGCAGAUAUCAGGAGGAACACCGAUGGCGAAGGCGGGUCUCUGGGCCGAUACUGACGCUGAGGAGCGAAAGCGUGGGGAGCGAACAGG